GCCUGCUCAUGCACAAGACUUCAAAUUUAACUGAAAAAGGCUGUUUUGGCGCCAAGCUGCUGUUUCUUUGAGAGAUCCUGCCUUUACCUGCUCCCUCCUAUACUGAUGUGGUGUAUGUGGUAUUGCUGAGCUUGUAUGUGGUGGAAGCAGAAUAUGUGAGGAUUACUACUGCUGCACAUGUUCCAAGGCUUUUUACACAACUUGACCAAUACACUGACCAGCUCAUAAAAGUCUUCAAGAAAAAAGGAGGCGUUGCAGGGAAGAAAAUUAGACAAACUUUGGCCCCAGCCACACAGGUGCGUUAUUCUGUUGGUAGCAAAAUAUUAUGGCUAAUAAGAUCAUUUUCAAAUUUAAACAGCUAGUGUAUGGUAGCUGCACAGUGCACUUACAUUUAUAUUAAGCAAGACAAAGUUUGGUACUCAAAACGUUGGAAAAUUUAAAUUACCUAAACAUAUGUAAAAUCUGAUCCCUUGAUU